CUUCCCUCGAUGCGGGCAGCAUUCUCUCCUCUCGACGCGACGCCGGCGGCCGCCGCCUUCCGGCCAGCGCUAGGGCUAGGCUCCAUCUAUCACCCCAUACACUCACAAAUCUGAGCCCAUGAGCUUCUCGCUCUGCCGAUACAGAAGGAAAAUCGCCGAUUCCCCGGGGCUCCCGGCAGGGACCUGACGCAUGCGAUCCGGCGGCUCCGACCGAUGGGCGCGGCGUCGCCAACCCGCUGCCCUCCUUUCGUCGUGGAGGGCGUACUGGAAGUGAUAGAUGGGCCCCUCCGUCUGCGUCGUUCCGGUGGCGUACGACGGUGACGGUGUGGGUUUCUGGCUUUCUGCAUCAGUUCUACACACUUUAUCAAGAUACUGUUCGUUGAAUCUGAUCUGCUGUUCCAAUCCGAGGAUACUCCGCAAAUCAAGCAGUAUUAGCAAACAAACUGUUUAUUUCCUUCAUUGGAGUUUGUCAAGCUGCAAUGUGACCGAGAUACGAAUUUGACAACCAAUACAUACAACCUAAUCUAAGAGCGAUUGUCCGCAGUAACUUAUAUAAAACUGACACUGGUAUCAAUCAGUUUUUCAGCUGCUAGUGCAUGGAGUUGAAAUAGAGAGGAAAAACAUGUCCAGUAUAGAGCAUUAGAGCUUGGCAGUACAGAGAUAGUGCCGGUUCCUGAUGUCUUCAGGUUCUGCAAUCGCUGAAGCUAUCUCUGCUAGUAUGUUUACAUAUUCACUUGUUUCAGUGAUUUUGAUGUUAUCCUAAACCAGCCAUUCAUCACAUUUUAGAGCAAAAGUUGUGACCGGAGAGUGAUUAAAUACUUAAUCUAUCCAUCCUCGUUCAGUACAUCUAAUUGCUCCUCUUGCUUGAACAAUUUUGCCACCAAUGUAUCUCUCUGAGAUGGAUCGGAGGAGAGAAAAGAGUCUCCAGUUUCAGACCUUUCGUGCCUAUGAGCUGAUCAAGGAUGUCUGACCCCUUCUCCGGCACAUUGUUUGCGCCAUCUAAUUUUUGGCUAUCUAUGUUCUAGGGAUCCUCCUCAACCUAUCUGCUAGUGUUGGUUGCCAGAUGCUAGUACCAUCUGGAGCAAUCACCUCAGCAUUGUUGACCAAUGUGCUGUUCCUCCUCUCCCUAUAUGUACAUCUUGAUGCAUGGCAGUUGGCUUAUUGCAGAAAUAGCGCUCCAGUAGAAUGAACAAAAACACAAGCAGCAGCAUUGAUGUGAUGAUGUCUGAAUACAUCUGCUGACAAAUCACUGCGAUUUCGAGUUGAUACAAUGUUUGAAUUCGAGGUCCAAGUCAAGUUGACAAUGAGCCUGCCUUAGUUCCUCUAGAGUCUAGACAAGACAAGCAACGAAGCCACAUGAAGAUGAGAUUUUCAGAAACUUGGAUCACGCCAUCUUGGACUGCUUAGGUCAAUAAUUUGAAUGAGAUGCUGCAUACAUAUACAAACCUCAAGUAUGGACCACAAAAACAUCCUUAUAGCAAUUAUGAACUUCUUUGACUCUAUAAACUUGACAGAGUAAUGGAAGCCAAUUCUCAUAUGAACUUUUUUUUCUUUCUGACAAACUUUGACAGUACAAAUUUGACAGAUACGUAGCUGUAGAAGAACCAAACAUGUCAUGUGAAGUUCUGAAUUCUUUUGGCAAACUUUGACAGAUAGUUAUCAAUGUGUGAAAGAGGAGUGCCAAUUUAUCUACAGAUAUUUCAGCAGCAAAGUGACGUAUUUUAUCAGGAACUAAUAUCUCAUUCAGUUAUUCAGGUGUCAAUACAUGGAGUUGAAGUGGAGAGGAAAGCAUGUGCAGUUGCAAAGCUAAGCAGCACAGGGAGAAUGCAGAUUCCUGGGCUCUUCAGAACACCGGUUGCAACGGAGGGUUCAUCGUUCCAGCGCCCAAUUACUCUGUACGUUUGCAUCUAGCGCCAUUGUCCUUCAGUGCCUGCCGCCUCUCCUCCAGCACGGACACCUUUAUCGUCCUCCCAUCUGUGCCGCCUCCAGAGUACAGACGACGGCCUCCGCUCCCAUAAGCACCUCCAGCAGCGCAGCGGCAGUAUGCUUCACCCGUGGACUUGCUUGUGGACUGCGGCUCUAGUGCGGAAGCCGUGGGCUCAUCAUCGGCAGCGGUGCCGGCGGCGGCAACAGCAGCAGCAAGGGGGAUCGAACUCACAGAAGUCAUCGCCGGCAGCGGCAAGGGAAUCGAGCUCGGGGAAGUUAUCGCUCAUCAUCGGCAGCGGCAGCGGAUUAGAAUCCUGAAGCUCAUCAUCGUCUUACCUGAACAUUUUCACCACCCAUGCAUUUCUCGGAGAUUGGAUGUCAGACAUGAGCUCGAUUGGCGGUUGCCAAGGGCCAAGGCAGCGGCGCGCGUGGGGCCGGCGGUGCCUGACUGCCUUCCCUGGCGCUCCAGCUGGGUGCGCUAUGGCGGCGCGGGAAGCCUUACGAUAGGUCGGCGUCAUGACGGCGGCGGCCGGUGGCCGGCGCGACCCCGUCGGCCGCCGUUUCCGGCCU